CGAACGCUGGCGGCGUGCCUAAUACAUGCAAGUCGAGCGGACGGAUGGGAGCUUGCUCCCAGACCGUCAGCGGCGGACGGGUGAGUAACACGUGGGCAACCUGCCUGUAAGACUGGGAUAACUCCGGGAAACCGGGGCUAAUACCGGAUAACUCUUUCCCUCACAUGAGGGAAAGCUGAAAGAUGGCAUCUCGCUAUCACUUACAGAUGGGCCCGCGGCGCAUUAGCUAGUUGGUGAGGUAACGGCUCACCAAGGCGACGAUGCGUAGCCGACCUGAGAGGGUGAUCGGCCACACUGGGACUGAGACACGGCCCAGACUCCUACGGGAGGCAGCAGUAGGGAAUCUUCCGCAAAGGACGAAAGUCUGACGGAGCAACGCCGCGUGAGUGAUGAAGGUUUUCGGAUCGUAAAACUCUGUUGUCAGGGAAGAACAAGUACCGGAGUAACUGCCGGUACCUUGACGGUACCUGACCAGAAAGCCACGGCUAACUACGUG
rnacentral:rRNA from 1 species